AAAACGACUCUCGGCAACGGAUAUCUCGGCUCUCGCAUCGAUGAAGAACGUAGCGAACUGCGAUACUUGGUGUGAAUUGCAGAAUUCCGUGAACCAUCGAGUCUUUGAACGCAAGUUGCGCCCGAAGCCAUUAGGCCGAGGGCACGUCUGCCUGGGCGUCACGC
rnacentral:rRNA from 1 species